rnacentral:rRNA from 1 species
UGCAAGUYGAGCGCCCAGCAAUGGGAGCGGCAGACGGGUGAGUAACGCGUGGGGAUGUACCCAAUGGUACGGAAUAACCCAGGGAAACUUGGAUUAAUACCGUAUGUGCCCUUCGGGGGAAAGAUUUAUCGCCAUUGGAUCAACCCGCGUCGGAUUAGCUAGUUGGUGAGGUAAAGGCUCACCAAGGCGACGAUCCGUAGCUGGUCUGAGAGGAUGAUCAGCCACACUGGGACUGAGACACGGCCCAGACUCCUACGGGAGGCAGCAGUGGGGAAUAUUGGACAAUGGGCGCAAGCUGAUCCAGCCAUGCCGCGUGAGUBAUGAAGGCCUUAGGGUUGUAAAGCUCUUUCGCCGGUGAAGAUAAUGACGGUAACCGGAGAAGAAGCCCCGGCUAACUUCGUGCCAGCAGCCGCGGUAAUACGRAGGGGGCUAGCGUUGCUCGGRAUCACUGGGGCGUAAAGCGCACGUAGGCGGGUCGUUAAGUCAGAGGUGAAAGCCUGGAGCUCAACUCCAGGACUGCCUUUCGAKUACUGGGCGACCUCGAGUUCGAGAGAGGUUGGUGGGACUBCCGMGUUKUAGAGGUGAAAUUCGU